UACAGAAGUCUCAAGCGUUGUUCGGAUUCAUUGGGCGUAAAGGGUGCGUAGGUGGCGCGGUAAGUCGGGUGUGAAAUCUCGGAGCUUAACUCCGAAAUUGCAUUCGAUACUGCCGUGCUUGAGGACUGGAGAGGAGACUGGAAUUUACGGUGUAGCAGUGAAAUGCGUAGAGAUCGUAAGGAAGACCAGUGGCGAAGGCGGGUCUCUGGACAGUUCCUGACACUGAGGCACGAAGGCCAGGGGAGCAAACGGG
rnacentral:rRNA from 1 species